UACUUGUACCGACUGGAUGAGCAGCGAACGGGUGAGUAACGCGUGGGGAAUCUGCCUUUGAGCGGGGGACAACAUUUGGAAACGAAUGCUAAUACCGCAUAAAAACUUUAAACACAAGUUUUAAGUUUGAAAGAUGCAAUUGCAUCACUCAAAGAUGAUCCCGCGUUGUAUUAGCUAGUUGGUGAGGUAAAGGCUCACCAAGGCGAUGAUACAUAGCCGACCUGAGAGGGUGAUCGGCCACAUUGGGACUGAGACACGGCCCAAACUCCUACGGGAGGCAGCAGUAGGGAAUCUUCGGCAAUGGACGAAAGUCUGACCGAGCAACGCCGCGUGAGUGAAGAAGGUUUUCGGAUCGUAAAACUCUGUUGGUAGAGAAGAACGUUGGUGAGAGUGGAAAGCUCAUCAAGUGACGGUAACUACCCAGAAAGGGACGGCUAACUACGUGCCAGCAGCCGCGGUAAUACGUAGGUCCCGAGCGUUGUCCGGAUUUAUUGGGCGUAAAGCGAGCGCAGGUGGUUUAUUAAGUCUGGUGUAAAAGGCAGUGGCUCAACCAUUGUAUGCAUUGGAAACUGGUAGACUUGAGUGCAGGAGAGGAGAGUGGAAUUCCAUGUGGUAGCGGUGGG
rnacentral:rRNA from 1 species